rnacentral:rRNA from 1 species
CAUGCGCGUGCUUACCAUGCAAGUUGAACGGAGUAUGUUGGAAGGGUAACCGGAAGGCAUAUUUAGUGGCGAACGGGUGAGUAAUGCAUGAGAACGUAUCCUCAAGAGGGGGACAACAUUGGGAAACCGAUGCUAAUACCCCAUAAGCCGGGAGGUAAAAGGAGCAAUCCGCUUGAGGAGCGGUUCAUGUCCUAUCAGCUAGUUGGUGAGGUAACGGCUCACCAAGGCGAAGACGGGUAGCCGGCCUGAGAGGGUGAACGGCCACACUGGAACUGAGAGACGGUCCAGACUCCUACGGGAGGCAGCAGUGGGGAAUAUUGGGCAAUGGGGGAAACCCUGACCCAGCGACGCCGCGUGAGGGAAGAAGGCCUUAGGGUCGUAAACCUCUGUUGUGUGGGAAGAAGAGCGUGACGGUACCACACGAGGAAGUCCCGGCUAACUACGUGCCAGCAGCCGCGGUAAUACGUAGGGGACGAGCGUUGUCCGGAUUUACUGGGCGUAAAGGGCGCGUAGGCGGUCAUUUAAGUCAGCUGUGAAAUGGUGCGGCUUAACCGCAUCAUGCGGUUGAAACUGGAUGACUGGAGUGCUGGAGAGGCAAGUGGAAUUCCCAGUGUAGCGGUGAAAUGCGUAGAUAUUGGGAAGAACACCGGUGGCGAAGGCGACUUGCUGGCCAGCAACUGACGCUGAGGCGCGAAAGCCAGGGGAGCAAACGGGAUUAGAUACCCCGGUAGUCCUGGCCGUAAACGAUGAAUGCUAGGUGUGGGCAUCGAGAGGUGUCCGUGCCGGAGCUAACGCGAUAAGCAUUCCGCCUGGGGAGUAC